UGUCCAGUGACUCCUAUCCCUACCUCCCCGUGGUGCCGGUACGAGUAACCGUAGGGAAGAUCGGGUAACCAACCCUGGUGGGACCUUGGUCGUAUGCUGACAGGGAAGG
rnacentral:ribozyme from 1 species